rnacentral:lncRNA from 1 species
GACAUUCGGCUUGCCACUGUCUGUCAAAAGACAUGGAACCCGACGCAGAGUGGGGACCCGACUUACUAUCGUUCCCUGACAUUGCGACGCAAAUGACCGACUAAAUGCAUCUACGGGAGUCCGAACCCCUAACCUUUACAAGGUUCGGUCGGCUCCCGACUCAACGGAUGGAUCCAAUUGGCAACUUCGACUACCCGAAGCCGACCUAGAGUCGGGACGUAUUCUACCUUCGGGGCUGCACAAAUUGUCGAAGUCCUAUCGGCUUACGUAAGUUGGCGACUUGCUUAAGUUGGUGACUAAGGUUCCACGUCGCAGCAAUGGUCGGCAUUACAAACAAGAAGGAAAAGAAGAAAAUUUCAUUCGUUGAUAAAAGGAAAUUACAGAGUCGGGACGAAGCCCAAUUACAUGUAUUUUCAAAAAGACAAAAAUAAAGAUGGUCGGCAGGGUCGAUCACCCGUCCUGGUCGAUCUCUUCGACCGACGGAGGAUCGGGGAUGAUCGGCGUCUCGGCCAUAAGCGACGCUUGGUCGGCCGCCGAGGGAUGGGCUUCGGUCGACAAAGGAACUUCGGUCGGCGCCUGCUCCGGGACGGCUUCCUCCAC